GCCGCUAUAACUCAGAGGCUAGAGCGUUCGUCUCGUAAACCAAAGCUCACGAGUUCGAGUCUCGUUUGCGGCA